CUCCAGAAGUUGAAUGUGUGAUCCCUGCUUUAAACGGAGACUCAUAGCACGUGCCCACAUCAGCCCCGUGGCGGUUUGCGCAGCUGUGAGCAUGUGCGGCUCGGUGGGUCGCUGUGUUACCUGGCCGCGGGCGCGUGCCCGUCACCGUGCGGUGAAUUCCGUGCGUCAGGACUGCAGGGCUCGGCGUUCCCUGCUGCACACUCCUGCCCUGUCAAGCGCAAGAGCCGAGGAUUUUACUCCUGCUGCACCCAGCUGGACAGAAAGGCAGUUCUGACCCGCACGACCGUAUCACAAACAUGCUUCCCCAGCUGUGCAGCUGAAUGAGUCUGCAUCCCUCAGGCUUCCUCCACAUGCCCUAUAGUCCACUCUGUAUUUGGACAGUGACACAAUUAUUUAAUAUUUAUUUGUCCAAUUACUUUUGGUCCCCUAAAAUGGGGGGACUAAGUAUAAAAGGCACAUAAUACCUACAUGGUUAAUUUAACAUAUGGAUAUAAAUAUCUUCAAAUUAAAGGUGACUAUGUACUUUAAUGUCCUAUUAAUGGUUUCAUUCCAAAUCCAGUGUGCAAGUGUGCAGAGUCUAAACAACAGAAAUUGUGUCACAAAUACUUAUGGACUGCUCUGUAGGAGUCAAAUUAUUUAUCUGUGCACGUAACCUGGUUCUGAUGUCUGCAACAAAACUUAAGCCAAACCCAAAACCAACUCUGCUUGAACAAUAAAGACGUUACUGGAU